UGUUGUGGUUGGGGAGGGGUUGUGGUGGUGCUUUUGUACUUCCUCAUACCCCUUCGCACACGACAUUCGUGGGUUGGCCGGCAGGGACUCCUCGGAGCACCCACCGGAACCACCUACCCACAUAAUACUUUGAGAAAAAGAAAGUGUUCCAAGCAGUCUUAACGACAUGAAUACAUUAGCAUGGAAUAUACACAACGGGCUUUUGUCCUUGUGGUUGGUUUUUGGACCGAGUCAUGAUUGAUAGGGACAGUUGGGGGUGCUCGUAUUCCGUGAGGACAGGUGAAAUUGAAUGAUCCACGGAAGACGAACUUUUGCGAAAGCAUU
rnacentral:rRNA from 1 species